GUCGAACGCUUUGUCUUUAAUUGAUAUGAAGAGCUUGCUCUGAUUUGAUUCUAUCUGACAAAGAGUGGCGAACGGGUGAGUAACACGUGGGUAACCUACCUCUUAGCAGGGGAUAACAUUUGGAAACAAGUGCUAAUACCGUAUAACACUAACAACCGCAUGGUUGUUAGUUGAAAGAUGGUUCUGCUAUCACUAAGAGAUGGACCCGCGGUGCAUUAGCUAGUUGGUAAGGUAAUGGCUUACCAAGGCGAUGAUGCGUAGCCGAGUUGAGAGACUGAUCGGCCACAAUGGGACUGAGACACGGCCCAUACUCCUACGGGAGGCAGCAGUAGGGAAUCUUCCACAAUGGGCGCAAGCCUGAUGGAGCAACGCCGCGUGUGUGAUGAAGGGUUUCGGCUCGUAAAACACUGUUAUAAGAGAAGAACGACAUUGAGAGUAACUGUUCAGUGUGUGACGGUAUCUUAUCAGAAAGGAACGGCUAAAUACGUGCCAGCAGCCGCGGUAAUACGUAUGUUCCAAGCGUUAUCCGGAUUUAUUGGGCGUAAAGCGAGCGCAGACGGUUAUUUAAGUCUGAAGUGAAAGCCCUCAGCUCAACUGAGGAAGGGCUUUGGAAACUGGAUAACUUGAGUGCAGUAGAGGAAAGUGGAACUCCAUGUGUAGCGGUGAAAUGCGUAGAUAUAUGGAAGAACACCGGUGGCGAAAGCGGCUUUCUGGACUGUAACUGACGUUGAGGCUCGAAAGUGUGGGUAGCAAACAGGAUUAGAUACCCUGGUAGUCCACACCGUAAACGAUGAGUGCUAGAUGUUCGAGGGUUUCCGCCCUUGAGUGUCGCAGC
rnacentral:rRNA from 1 species